GUGCAUGACCAGCGAACACAGAGCGCGCGACUACUACCCCUAACCCCCUACCCCCCCGCAACGACUACUACCCACCCCCGUCGGUCGUUCCGCCCGCAACGACUACUACACAACCCCCCCGUCGGACCUUCUCGACCGGCCCGCGAAAUAUUGUCUGACAUGAAACCGGUCCGUGAGACACCAGCGCCUGGCGCUCAGCCCGCACAACCCGGAAGCCCGAGAUCGCGGUGCUCCUCGCCUCGGACAGCGACAGAGGCGGAGUGGUUUGGGCUGACUGCAGCGUGGCUACCCGGACGACGGUUGGGCUGUUGACUGGGUCCCUCACUUGCUCCUCACAUUUUUCAGUUGUGUGUCAGUCAGUAUAUUCUCUUAUUUUAUUCAUUUUUUUGCUUUUGGUUUUUGAUUGAUAUUGUUUGGCGUGUGUGGAGAACUGGAGCCAGUGAGGGUCCUGUCCCAGGCCCGCUACAGCCCAGUUACCCAUAGAACCGGAGUUGUUUAGUAAAAGCUUUUUGUUAUCUUACUAAAUUCCCUGAGCUGACGGAGAUUGUUUUAAUACAUUGUUUUCAUAUCAC
ensembl:lncRNA